rnacentral:ncRNA from 2 species
AAGUGAAUACAUUUUUAAGGUUUUCCAACUUUGGAAUUAAAAGGGAAGAGGAGUGAAAGACUCCCGCGGUCCCGCCACUGUAAUGCAGACGAAGGCAAAUUACCCACUGGAUUAAAAUCUGGGAAGGGUGCUAGUAGGAUGAAGCUGAGCCAGGAGACCUGCCUUAAAAAUAAUAUUGUC